rnacentral:rRNA from 1 species
GACGAUGCGUAGGGGUUCUGAGAGGAAGGUCCCCCACACUGGUACUGAGACACGGACCAGACUCCUACGGGAGGCAGCAGUGAGGAAUAUUGGUCAAUGGCCGCAGGGCUGAACCAGCCAAGUCGCGUGAGGGAUGACGGUCCUAUGGAUUGUAAACCUCUUUUGUCAGGGAGCAAAGGGCGCCACGUGUGGCGCUUUGCGAGUACCUGAAGAAAAAGCAUCGGCUAACUCCGUGCCAGCAGCCGCGGUAAUACGGAGGAUGCGAGCGUUAUCCGGAUUUAUUGGGUUUAAAGGGUGCGCAGGCGGAAUGUCAAGUCAGCGGUAAAAUUUCGGGGCUCAACCCCGUCGUGCCGUUGAAACUGGCGUUCUUGAGUGAGCGAGAAGUAUGCGGAAUGCGUGGUGUAGCGGUGAAAUGCAUAGAUAUCACGCAGAACUCCGAUUGCGAAGGCAGCAUACCGGCGCUCAACUGACGCUCAUGCACGAAAGCGUGGGUAUCGAACAGGAUUAGAUACCCUGGUAGUCCACGCAGU